rnacentral:rRNA from 1 species
UACGUAGGGGGCAAGCGUUGUCCGGAAUCAUUGGGCGUAAAGAGCGCGUAGGCGGUCCGGUAAGUCCGCUCUGAAAGUCCGGGGCUCAACCCCGGGAGGCGGGCGGAUACUGCCGGGCUAGAGUCCGGAAGAGGCGAGUGGAAUUCCUGGUGUAGCGGUGAAAUGCGCAGAUAUCGGGAGGAACACCAAUGGCGAAGGCAGCUCGCUGGGACGUUACUGACGCUGAGACGCGAAAGCGUGGGGAGCAAACAGG